rnacentral:rRNA from 1 species
UCUUGGUCAUUUAGAGGAAGUAAAAGUCGUAACAAGGUCUCCGUAGGUGAACCUGCGGAGGGAUCAUUAACGAAUGGCUUUUUUUGGCCUUCGACUUCAAACCUGUGGAAGCGAGAUGUGCUUUGGCGCCAAGUCGCCUCAUUUAUGCCAAAAAGUAUUUGUCUGAAUCUAAAAAAACAAGAAUCAAAACUUUCAACAAAGGAUCUCUUGGCUCUUGCAUCGAUGAAGAACGCAGCGAAGCGCGAAAUGUAGUGUGAAUCGCAGAACAUUGUGAAUCAUCGAAUCUUUGAACGCACAUUGCGCCUCCCUUUGCGGGGAGGCAUGCCUGUCUGAGCGUCAUUUAACUCAUACCUUCUUGGUGUGUUGGGCCUCGCCCCAGCGGCGUAGCCUCAAAGUCAUUGGUCUAAAGGCGGACAAGAUCCAUUGGGACCGACCGUUUGGGACCAUAAACCUCUGACUUGACCUCAGAUCAGGUAGGGCUACCGCCUGAACUUAAGCAUAUCAAUAA